CAGAAAAUGGUGGAUAUGGGAGGAGCUGGAUGAGCUGCACCAUAGCCAGUCACUUCUCGUGUUCACCUGCUAUGUGCACACCAGUCUUUGAUCUCAGUGUCUCCCAGACACAAGAUCUAAUCUUCUCCAUCAUCUUACAAGAUCUUCUGGAUCAAUACAGCAAGUGCAUUGAGACUGUAGCAACACAUUUAAAACCUUAUAAAAGGUUAUUUAGUUGCUAACAGUGCAGUGGUUUCUGCAAAGCCUGCCAAAAGGUUACAGCUUUUUGGAGAUCAUAAAUUACAGACGACAGGAAAAAAGCCAGAAAUCUUUCAAGAAAAAGUCUCAUUUGAAAAUCUUUCACAUCUUGUGAGGAUGAAUAAAAGACAGAAUGUCAACUUUGCCGCCUUAAAAUUUCAAAAAGAGGAAACAUUCCAAAAUCGCAUACAGCAUCCAUGAUACAUGAUCCUUGAUCCAGACAUAAAAGAGAAUAUAAAAAUGAAGAAAAGAGACGCUGUUAGAGAAAAAUGGGACUUCCCUCCAAACAUCUUGCUCCUCACCCACAUGGGUGGAAGUGAUCAACCCUCAGUCACUCAAAUGGGCACAGGAAGGGCCUUGGAUUAUCCCUUCAAGCUGGCGGCCCAAGAAAACUGUUUCUGCACCCUAUGUCAGCCCUUAAAACUUUACUAUAGCUCUAAUUCAAAAUUGUAAUAAUAAAAUUUGUAUUUAAAAUUAUGCACAGGCUUUGGCCUCCUCUUCAGCUGAACUUUAACACUUGGCCAUUUGGCAUUCAGCCAUAAUGUACCUGUAACUGUAAUGUACCCCUAAAUAUAAAUUGAAAAUCUUUUCUUCCCCCAACCCCUGGUCUCUUCUCCAGAGAUUACCACUGGUGCUUAAGGGCCUUGUAAUAUUUCUAUAAAAUAUUUGUAUUUGUUCUUGCAACAGUGGGAUCAUCCCAUAUACUCUCCAGUAAUUUGUUAUGUACCAUUACAUUAAAGAUAAUUUAAUUCAAACAUCUUUCCAUGAGACUAUGUGUAGCUCUAUCUUAUGUUUUGUAAUGACUUGCAUAUAUUCUGUUGUAUGGAUGUGGCAUUAUUUAAUGACCCAAUCCUUAAUUAAAGAACAUUUAGUCUAUUAUCAUUUUUUUUGAGAGGGAGUCUCGCUUUGUUGCCCAGGCUGGAGUGCAAUGGCACAGUCUCGGCUCACUGCAACAUCUGCCUCCCGGGUUCAAGCUAUUCUCCUGUCUCAGCCUCUUGAGUAACUGGGAUUAC
rnacentral:lncRNA from 10 species